rnacentral:rRNA from 1 species
GAUGAACGCUAGCGACAGGCCUAACACAUGCAAGUCGAGGGGCAGCACAUGCGUAGCAAUACAAUGGUGGCGACCGGCGCACGGGUGAGUAACACGUAUGCAACCUACCUGUAAGAGGGGAAUAACCCGGAGAAAUUCGGACUAACACCGCAUAAUACCUCGAAGCUGCAUGGCUUUGCGGUUAAAUAUUUAUAGCUUACAGAUGGGCAUGCGUAACAUUAGAUAGUUGGUGAGGUAACGGCUAACCAAGUCAACGAUGUUUAGGGGUUCUGAGAGGAAGGUCCACCACACUGGUACUGAGACACGGACCAGACUCCUACGGGAGGCAGCAGUGAGGAAUAUUGGUCAAUGGGCGAGAGCCUGAACCAGCCAAGUCGCGUGAAGGAAGAAGGUUCUAUGGAUUGUAAACUUCUUUUGUAAGGGAAUAAAAAAGCUUACGUGUAGGCUAUUGUAUGUACUUUACGAAUAAGGAUCGGCUAACUCCGUGCCAGCCGCCGCAGUAAAAC